GAGGUUUUUUAUCUGGAGGCCACAUCUUUGCAAUCCUGGGUCAAAAAUGGAAGGCAGUUUAGGGUAAGAUUUCAGUGAAUGGGCACAUGACUUUGUUUCCCUGUGCAGUUAUGAUCCAUCUAUGCAAAGAAUUGAUAAGGCUUCUCUAGAAAAUAUUAAGCACUUACAACCCAAGAUACAACUGAUGACCUAAGACCUAAAUUUGCCUACAAAAUACUUCAUUUACUAGAUGGAGAACUGGAGGAACUAAAGGCAGAUUUAUGGUGGGAUUCCUGUAAAAAGCUGGAAUUGUAGUAUGGGAUAUACUGUAUUUAUGAAACACUGAAUGGAUAGCUGAAGUAACAGGAUAGUUAAGAGAACCUAUUUAAAUCUUCCUACUUACAUACAAAAACUGGGAUUCUAGGAUUAGUUCUCAGUUAUGUUUUACUUACAAAAAGAUAAAGCAACUGUUUACUAGUUAUAUCUUUACAUAUAUCUUAUGACAGUGCCUUGCUUACAGAAACAGAACCAAUUAUAGUAUGGCUGCACACUCAGGCUUCAAAAACACUUUUCAGAACAUCUUGCAAGACCUUUUUCCACACAGUCUUUGCUCUUAAGCAGAGCAGAGCAAUUCCUGUGAUCCCUUUUGACUCAAAGUACUCAUCAAGCCUGGGAACAUCUGUAGUUUUACCAAGAGUAUAAAACCGAGCACCCCACAACCAAUUUACUUGUUUUCCAGGCUAGAUUCUCAACCCUUCACGGUGAUUCUUGGUGUUUGCUUUCUGCUCUCUCACCCAUUUUCUGAUAGGAGCAGCGCUUGAGUGUUUUUGUGGGGCACAAACAUGUGACUGUGGAGAAGUCACAAUCGUUUCAGCUGUGUGGCUCCAGCUGGGAUUCAACACCUCUUGAACUUGGUGCAUGCUGGAGAGCUUGCUAGCUUUCAAAAGGCUUAACAAUUUUUACUUUUUGGAGUCACUUUAUUAGCAGUCGUAAUUCCCCCUUGUCCCCAACACUGCAGUUUUGGCAGAACAUCGAACUACUUCUGUGCUACCAAGAAUUCGAGAUUUCAGCUGAAUUUCAACCUUGCCUCACUUCUUGGCUCUAGGAAGAACACUCAUGUACGCUGUGUUGGCAUAGCCACACUGUCCCCAUUGUUGUCUGGUUCUGCUGUGCUGUCAAGGUCUGUGUGUUGACAGGCACUGGCUUCCUUCCACAAUCACACUGAUCCACAAGAGCAUGAUAUCGGGGGACACUGUCAUCGUACCUGGAACGCUGGAAGAACCCGCACUGGGGCCAAGAAAAAAGAAGAAGAGGUUAGGUUUAAGUUGCCAUGAAAGUACUACAGCUAAAUUCUUCAUUUGCACAGACUUACAGUUUUGGCCACAGUGGUACAGAGGUGAUCACUAGUAGAAGACACUGGACAUGACGUGCUUAUGGAUUGCCAAAGUCAAGAUUAAAG